rnacentral:rRNA from 1 species
AAUGAACGUUGGCGGCGUGGAUUAGGCAUGCAAGUCGCACGGGCCGCAAGGCCAGUGGCGCAAGGGUGAGUAAGGCGACGGUAACCAACCCCGCGAAUGGGUAUAGCCGCGGGAAACUGCGGGUAAUCCCCAGCGACGUCGGUGGGAGGCAUCUCCUAUCGACCAAAGCUCCGGCGUCGCGGGACGGGCCGUCGUGGUAUUAGCUAGUUGGCGGGGUAACGGCCCACCAAGGCUGCGAUGCCUACCGGGCGUGCGAGCGUGGCCCGGCACACUGGGACUGAGACACUGCCCAGACUCCUACGGGAGGCUGCAGUCGAGAAUCUUCGGCAAUGGGCGCAAGCCUGACCGAGCGACGCCGCGUGGAGGACGAAGGCCUUCGGGUUGUAAACUCCUGUCGAGGGGGAAGAAGGGGCGCAAGCCCUUGACUGAUCCCUGGAGGAAGCACGGGCUAAGUUCGUGCCAGCCGCCGCCGUAACAC